GACGAACGCUGGCGGCGUGCUUAACACAUGCAAGUCGAACGAAGAGCGAUGGAAGCUUGCUUCUAUCAAUCUUAGUGGCGAACGGGUGAGUAACGCGUAAUCAACCUGCCCUUCAGAGGGGGACAACAGUUGGAAACGACUGCUAAUACCGCAUACGAUCUGACCUCGGCAUCGAGGAUAGAUGAAAGGUGGCCUCUAUUUAUAAGCUUUCACUGAAGGAGGGGAUUGCGUCUGAUUAGCUAGUUGGAGGGGUAACGGCCCACCAAGGCGAUGAUCAGUAGCCGGUCUGAGAGGAUGAACGGCCACAUUGGGACUGAGACACGGCCCAGACUCCUACGGGAGGCAGCAGUGGGGAAUCUUCCGCAAUGGACGAAAGUCUGACGGAGCAACGCCGCGUGAGUGAUGACGGCCUUCGGGUUGUAAAGCUCUGUUAAUCGGGACGAAAGGCCUUCUUGCGAAUAGUUAGAAGGAUUGACGGUACCGGAAGAGAAAGCCACGGCUAACUACGUG
rnacentral:rRNA from 1 species